rnacentral:lncRNA from 1 species
CUGAACUUGAUUGAAUAAUAAAAUAAAUAACACGGAAGAAAUUUAUUUCAUCUUCUAGAUAGCAGCAGCCUACAGGCCUAUCUUUGUUUUCAUAUUUUUACAAGUGAUUCUUCUUCCCUUGCUCGAAUCCCCCCAUCUUCUUCACUUGAAUCCUCCCCUUCUCCGAUCAGGCGUGAAGGAAGAAAGUUCGAAUUCUAAGAAAGCGGAAGGAUCCCAAGACCGAGUGAUUAUGGUGCUAGUAAAUCCUCGAUUUAGAUGUAUGGACGGCUUGGAAUGUGCACACUUGGAUUACGCCCGCCUCACGCUUCCGUUAUUAAGUCUAUUAAAAUAGGUUAAGUUUUGGUCAUAUGUAUCUAGGUCUAUGUAGUAUGUCGAUAACUCGUUGUUGGGUAAAAACUUAGUAGUCGAAGUCAUGUCGUGUCCAAUAUAGACUUUGUUGUUUUGGGUUUUUGUCAAGGAUGUUAAGCGUUGAAGUUUGGUAUGUAUAACAGGGUGUUAAUGGUUUUAAACGAAUAGGUCAUGCCGAAUUUUCCUAAAAUUUACCUAUUUAUUUUAUAU